rnacentral:misc_RNA from 1 species
GAUGAAGAACGCAGCGAAAUGCGAUACGUAAUGUGAAUUGCAGAAUUCAGUGAAUCAUCGAGUCUUUGAACGCACAUUGCGCCCCCUGGUAUUCCGGGGGGCAUGCCUGUCCGAGCGUCAUUGCUGCCCUCAAGCACGGCUUGUGUGUUGGGCCCCCGCCCCCCGGUUCCCGGGGGGCGGGCCCGAAAGGCAGCGGCGGCACCGCGUCCGGUCCUCGAGCGUAUGGGGCUUCGUCACCCGCUCCGUAGGCCCGGCCGGCGCCCGCCGGCGACCCCCCCUCAAUCUUUUUUCCAGGUUGACCUCGGAUCAGGUAGGGAUACCCGCUGAACUUAAGCAUAUCAAUAAGCGGAGGA